UACCAGCACCCCGAGUGGUCGGGACGAUUAUUGGGCCUAAAGCAUCCGUAGCCGGUUCUGCAAGUCCCCCGUUAAAUCCACCUGCUUAACAGAUGGGCUGCGGAAGAUACUAUAGAGCUAGGAGGCGGGAGAGGCAAGCGGUACUCGAUGGGUAGGGGUAAAAUCCGUUGAUCCAUUGAAGACCACCAGUGGCGAAGGCGGCUUGCCAGAACGCGCUCGACGGUGAGGGAUGAAAGCUGGGGGAGCAAACCGG
rnacentral:rRNA from 1 species